GAUGAACGCUAGCUACAGGCUUAACACAUGCAAGUCGAGGGGCAGCGCAGUGUAGCAAUACAUGGGCGGCGACCGGCGCACGGGUGCGUAACGCGUAUCCAACCUUCCCGUUACUCUCGGAUAGCCUUCCGAAAGGGAGAUUAAUACGAGAUGGUGUUGAAAUUCCGCAUGUUAUUUCAACUAAAGAUUCAUCGGUAAUGGAUGGGGAUGCGUGACAUUAGGUAGAUGGCGGGGUAACGGCCCACCAUGCCCACGAUGUCUAGGGGUUCUGAGAGGAAGGUCCCCCACACUGGAACUGAGACACGGUCCAGACUCCUACGGGAGGCAGCAGUGAGGAAUAUUGGUCAAUGGCCGGAAGGCUGAACCAGCCAAGUAGCGUGAAGGAUGAAGGUUCUAUGGAUUGUAAACUUCUUUUAUACGGGAAUAAAACCGCCUACGUGUAGGUGCUUGUAUGUACCGUAUGAAUAAGCAUCGGCUAACUCCGUG
rnacentral:rRNA from 1 species